rnacentral:misc_RNA from 1 species
AUCGCUCCCGAAUUCCCGUUCAAGGAUGCAGCGGCGGCUCAGGUUACCCUGCGGACGCUGGCGGACAAGAGAGUCUAUUUGCGCAGGCCGAGCACCUAUCGAAUGACGGACGCAGAGAUAAGCGGCGCUCUGGCGUCGACGCCCGCCGAUGCGCGGGCGUUUCUCGAGCGCGGUCUCGGAUUGCUGCAGCGACGCCAAUGGGAUGAGGCGAUAGCCGAUUUCGACAAAGCGGUCGCGCUCGACCCCAAAAAUGCCUGGCCCUUGGCCAAUCGCGGGCUCGCCUGGAUAUGGAAAGGCGAUUAUGCGGCGGGCGACAAGGAUCUGGCGGCGGCCUCCGCGAUCGACCCAAAAAACCCGGUUCUGCUGCGCGCGCGCGGACUUCGGGCAUACCGAAAGCAG